UACGAAGGGGGCUAGCGUUGCUCGGAAUCACUGGGCGUAAAGCGCACGUAGGCGGCUUUUUAAGUCAGGGGUGAAAUCCUGGAGCUCAACUCCAGAACUGCCUUUGAUACUGAGAAGCUUGAGUCCGGGAGAGGUGAGUGGAACUGCGAGUGUAGAGGUGAAAUUCGUAGAUAUUCGCAAGAACACCAGUGGCGAAGGCGACUCUUUGGCCUGUAACUGACGCUGAGGCGCGAAAGCGUGGGGAGCAAACAGG
rnacentral:rRNA from 1 species